rnacentral:piRNA from 1 species
UGGAAAAAACGCCGAAACUGAUGGCCC